CUUUUAAAAUACGAUUUACUUUUAAUGGGUUCAGAUCAGAGAAUUGUUUCCUUAGCUGUUAAAAAGGAAUCAGAAAAUUGUUCCUUCUGAGUCAGAAAAUAAGGUCACAAUAGAAAUUUGAUAUGUUCCUUCCUGUCCACUCUGAAAAUAGUAAUAACUAGUGUCUUAAAGCACAGACUCAUUCCCAGAAAACAUCUAUCACCAAUUAUUUGGCCCUUCCAAUCUGAAGUUAAAAUCAAAUCUCUACUUGACUUAAAGGGGCUUAUUUUUUCUGAAAUUGGAUACACAAGUGACAAAUUGUGUGUGUUCCAUAGCUGUGGUAAAACUUUUGACUUUCUUUCUUUGUACAACGUCUUUUAUAUCUCUAGGCAACAGGAAAGGAUAAAUUCACAGAGGGAAGAGAUAGAAAGACAACGGAAAAUGUUAGCAAAGCGGAAACCUCCUGCCAUGGGUCAGGCCCCUCCUGCAACCAAUGAGCAGAAACAGCGGAAAAGCAAGACCAAUGGAGCUGAAAAUGAAACGUUAACGUUAGCAGAAUACC
rnacentral:lncRNA from 1 species